GGCUGCAGAAUUUAUAACUGUACAAAGGUAGCAUAAUAAUUUGUUUUUUAAUUAAAAACUAGAAUGAAUGAUUAAAUGAAAUAUAAACUGUUUCAAUAAAAAUAAAAUUUAAAUUUUUAUUUAAGUUAAAAAACUUAAAUAAAUUUAAAAGACGACAAGACCCUAUAGAAUUUUAUAUAUUUUUUAUAUAUAAAAUUUUAUUAAUUUAUUUAUAUUUAAAAAAUAUAUUUAAUUGGGGUAAUUUAAAAAUUUAAAAAAUUUUUUUUUUAUAAAACAAUAAUUAUUGAAUAAAAUAUCUUAAAAUUUAAAAUAUUAAAAUUAAUUACCUUAGGGAUAACAGCAUAAUUUUUUUUAAAAGAUCUUAUU
rnacentral:rRNA from 1 species